rnacentral:rRNA from 1 species
AGAGUUUGAUCAUGGCUCAGAAUCAACGCUGGCGGCGCGCUUAACACAUGCAAGUCGAACGAGAAAGCCGGAGCAAUCUGGUGAGUAAAGUGGCGUACGGGUGAGUAACACGUGGGUAAUCUACCUCUUAGUGUGGAAUAACCCUGGGAAACCGGGGCUAAUACCGCAUAAGCUCGAGAGAGGAAAGCAGCAAUGCGCUGAGAGAGGAGCCCGCGGCCGAUUAGCUAGUUGGUGAGGUAAAAGCCCACCAAGGCUUAGAUCGGUAGCCGGCCUGAGAGGGCACACGGCCACACUGGCACUGAAACACGGGCCAGACUCCUACGGGAGGCAGCAGUGGGGAAUCUUGCACAAUGGGGGAAACCCUGAUGCAGCGACGCCGCGUGAGCGAUGAAGCCCUUCGGGGUGUAAAGCUCUUUCGGCAGGGGAGAUAAUGACGGUACCUGCAUAAGCAGCUGCGGCUAACUACGUGCCAGCAGCCGCGGUAAUACGUAGGCAGCGAGCGUUGUUCGGAGUUACUGGGCGUAAAGGGUGUGUAGGCGGCUUUUUAAGUUUGGUGUGAAAUCUCCCGGCUCAACUGGGAGGGUGCGCCGAAUACUGAAGGGCUAGAGUGCGGGAGAGGAGAGUGGAAUUCCUGGUGUAGCGGUGAAAUGCGUAGAUAUCAGGAGGAACACCGGUGGUGUAGACGGCUCUCUGGACCGUAACUGACGCUGAGACACGAAAG